GAAGAAACAAAGAUUCAAAGGAUCACUGGAAUUAAAAGGGUUAACUACUUUCGAUGUCAAAUUCAAGAGUGAUGGGAAAAGGAGUAGGGGAAGAGAUCUAUCAAUCAUUUCUAUAUGAUUAUAAAAGUAAUUUCCUGGAAUUUAAGGGGUUUAAACGAUAAGAAGAAAAGGGAGAUAAUAAAAAGUCAAGUGCAGAAUUGGAGGGCAGACAUUAUUUGCUUGCAAGAAACAAAAGUCGAGGGGGAUAUCGAGGAAAUAGUCAGGCAAAUAUGGGGUGGUAGAUGGGUGAGGUAUGCAUGUUUAGAAGCUAGCGGCACGAGAGGGGGGAUUUUGUUGUUAUGGGAUUGCAGAGUAUGGAAAGGGGAGGU